rnacentral:rRNA from 1 species
UACGAAGGGGGCAAGCGUUGCUCGGAAUCACUGGGCGUAAAGCGCACGUAGGCGGAUUGCUAAGUCAGGGGUGAAAUCCUGGAGCUCAACUCCAGAACUGCCUUUGAUACUGGCGAUCUUGAGUCCGGGAGAGGUGAGUGGAACUGCGAGUGUAGAGGUGAAAUUCGUAGAUAUUCGGAAGAAUACCAGUGGCGAAGGCGACUUACUGGACCCAUAUUGACGCUGAGGUGCGAAAGCGUGGGGAGCAAACAGG